rnacentral:rRNA from 1 species
UACGGAGGGUGCAAGCGUUAUCCGGAUUCACUGGGUUUAAAGGGAGCGUAGGUGGGUUGGUAAGUCAGUGGUGAAAUCCCCGAGCUUAACUUGGGAACUGCCAUUGAUACUAUCAGUCUUGAAUACUGUGGAGGUUAGCGGAAUAUGUCAUGCAGCGGUGAAAUGCUUAGAUAUGACAUAGAACACCAAUUGCGAAGGCAGCUGGCUACACAAUUAUUGACACUGAGGCUCGAAAGCGUGGGGAUCAAACAGG